rnacentral:snRNA from 1 species
GUGCUUGCUUCAGGAACAUAUAUACUAAAGUUGGAAUGAUAAAGAAAACUUUAGCAUGGUGCCUGCACAAAAAAAGAAUGCCCUGAUUUGUGAAGUAUCUCAUUCUUUU